rnacentral:rRNA from 1 species
UACGUAGGGGGCAAGCGUUGUCCGGAAUCAUUGGGCGUAAAGAGCGUGUAGGCGGCUCGAUAAGUCCGCUCUGAAAGCCCGGGGCUCAACCCCGGGAGGCGGGCGGAUACUGUCGAGCUAGAGUCCGGAAGAGGCGAGUGGAAUUCCUGGUGUAGCGGUGAAAUGCGCAGAUAUCAGGAGGAACACCAGUGGCGAAGGCGGCGACCUGGGCCAAUAUUGACGCUGAGGUGCGAAAGCGUGGGGAGCAAACAGG